rnacentral:rRNA from 1 species
CUAGAUCUGAGUAUAUCAAUAUUACCUUGUUCAGAACUUAAAGAGAAAUCUUGAGUUUAUGGACUUCAGGGGGAGUAUGGUCACAAGGCUGAAACUUAAAGGAAUUGACGGAAGGGCACACCAGGAGUGGAGCCUGCGGCUUAAUUUGACUCAACACGGGAAAACUUACCAAGACCGAACAGUAGAAGGAAUGACAGAUUAAGAGUUCUUUCAUGAUUUAUUGGGUAGUGGUGCAUGGCCGUUCUUAGUUGGUGGAGUGAUUUGUCAGGUUAAUUCCGGUAACGAACGAGACUGAAACCUAUUAAUUAGUUUUCUGCCUAUAAGACAGAAAUGUUCGCAAGAACAGGUGCGUAAGUACCACUUCUUAAAGGGACACAUUUCAAUUGUCCUAUUUUAAUUGUAGUUAUCUAAUUUCGGUA